AGCGUUACUAACAAAGAAACAUUCGUUCGUUUGUAUGGGAAAAAGAAGAGUUGUUUUUACGGGUUUCCCGGGAAUUAUUCGAAUUUUUCUUGCCGCAAAAACCAUCCUUGGCCAUCAACGGCCAUAUUAAUUUGGUUCAGUCAUAAAUUAUCCAAACGUCAAAUAACUCGUGAAAUGAGGAUAAGUAGCUUGAAAAAAGGACAGUGGACGUCCGAAAAAAGUAAAACCUCGUCACAUACGACAAAUUAAACGGAUGUGCAUUAGGGUAAAAAUAACUACACGUUUUAUGUAAAAUGUUCUGAAUAAUCUCGAGCGCAACGUCCAACCAAAAAGCUAUCUCCGAUUACAAGACAUGACGAAACAGCGACUAGAGUGGGCAAAAUCACACAAAACAUGGACUACAUCAGAUUGGGAAAAUGUCACCUAAAAAGUUUAUUUUCAGGAUGAUUCAGCCCCAAGAGCYAAAACCUUAUCUAAAGCGUUACAAAACAAAAAGAUUUUUAUGGAAUUAAGUCUCUCAUGUGGCCAGCAAACAGAUCUCAAUCCAGUUGAGAACUGCUGGCAUUAUAUGGACAAAUCCAAAUGUCUAAAAGAAAUGGAAAAAAUGGAAUGAAGAAAUUAAUAAAAAUUAUCUUGAACACUUGUUUGAAUCCAUGCCUAAACGAAUAGCCGAGUUUAUUAGUAGGAGGGGAUGUUCUAAAUGUAUAAAACUUGUUUAAAAAUUACAAUAUUAUUCAUAACAAAUUUUAGUUCUGUGGUUUGCUUUGUGUGUAUAUUUAUAUUUUUCACGCUACUGUAUGCCAAAAUUAAUAUUAUUUUUACUAACCCUAAACUGUCAGAUGUCUAUUGGUUUUCUAUACUCUUGCAACCAGUUGCUACAUAAUAUAAUACGGAU